rnacentral:rRNA from 1 species
ACGCAGUAGGAUAGGCGAAGCGUGCGAUUGGAUUGCACGUCUAAGCAGUAAGGCUGAGUAUUAGGCAAAUCCGGUACUCAUUAAGGCUGAGCUGUGAUGGGGAGAAGACAUUGUGUCUUCGAGUCGUUGAUUUCACACUGCCGAGAAAAGCCUCUAGAUAGAAAAUAGGUGCCCGUACCGCAAACCGACACAGGUAGUCAAGAUGAGAAUUCUAAGGUGAGCGAGCGAACUCUCGUUAAGGAACUCGGCAAAAUGACCCCGUAAUUUCGGGAGAAGGGGUGCUCUUUAGGGUUAACGCCCAGAAGAGCCGCAGUGAAUAGGCCCAAGCGACUGUUUAUCAAAAACACAGGUCUCUGCUAAACCGUAAGGUGAUGUAUAGGGGCUGACGCCUGCCCGGUGCUGGAAGGUUAAGAGGAGUGGUUAGCUUCUGCGAAGCUACGAAUCGAAGCCCCAGUAAACGGCGGCCGUAACUAUAACGGUCCUAAGGUAGCGAAAUUCCUUGUCGGGUAAGUUCCGACCCGCACGAAAGGCGUAACGAUUUGGGCACUGUCUCAACGAGAGACUCGGUGAAAUCAUAGUACCUGUGAAGAUGCAGGUUACCCGCGACAGGACGGAAAGACCCCGUGGAGCUUUACUGUAGCCUGAUAUUGAAAUUCGGCACAGCUUGUACAGGAUAGGUAGGAGCCUUUGAAACGUGAGCGCUAGCUUACGUGGAGGCGCUGGUGGGAUACUACCCUAGCUGUGUUGGCUUUCUAACCCGCACCACUUAUCGUGGUGGGAGACAGUGUCAGGCGGGCAGUUUGACUGGGGCGGUCGCCUCCUAAAAGGUAACGGAGGCGCUCAAAGGUUCCCUCAGAAUGGUUGGAAAUCAUUCAUAGAGUGUAAAGGCAUAAGGGAGCUUGACUGCGAGACCUACAAGUCGAGCAGGGUCGAAAGACGGACUUAGUGAUCCGGUGGUUCCGCAUGGAAGGGCCAUCGCUCAACGGAUAAAAGCUACCCCGGGGAUAACAGGCUUAUCUCCCCCAAGAGUUCACAUCGACGGGGAGGUUUGGCACCUCGAUGUCGGCUCAUCGCAUCCUGGGGCUGUAGUCGGUCCCAAGGGUUGGGCUGUUCGCCCAUUAAAGCGGUACGCGAGCUGGGUUCAGAACGUCGUGAGACAGUUCGGUCCCUAUCCGUCGUGGGCGUAGGAAAUUUGAGAGGAGCUGUCCUUAGUACGAGAGGACCGGGAUGGACAUACCUCUGGUGUACCAGUUGUCGUGCCAACGGCAUAGCUGGGUAGCUAUGUGUGGACGGGAUAAGUGCUGAAAGCAUCUAAGCAUGAAGCCCCCCUCAAGAUGAGAUUUCCCAACUUCGGUUAUAAGAUCCCUCAAAGAUGAUGAGGUUAAUAGGUUCGAGGUGGAAGCAUGGUGACAUGUGGAGCUGACGAAUACUAAUCGAUCGAAGACUUAAUCAA